GACGAACGCUGGCGGCGUGCUUAACACAUGCAAGUCGAACGGAAAGGCCCUGCUUUUGUGGGGUGCUCGAGUGGCGAACGGGUGAGUAACACGUGAGUAACCUGCCCUUGACUUUGGGAUAACUUCAGGAAACUGGGGCUAAUACCGGAUAGGAGCUCCUGCUGCAUGGUGGGGGUUGGAAAGAUUCGGCGGUUGGGGAUGGACUCGCGGCUUAUCAGCUUGUUGGUGGGGUAGUGGCUUACCAAGGCUUUGACGGGUAGCCGGCCUGAGAGGGUGACCGGCCACAUUGGGACUGGGAUACGGCCCAGACUACUACGGGAGGCAGCAGUGGGGAAUAUUGCACAAUGGGCGGAAGCCUGAUGCAGCAACGCCGCGCGCGGGAUGACGGGCUUCGGGUUGUGAACCACUUUCGCCUGUGACGAAGCGUGAGUGACGGUAAUGGGUAAAGAAGCACCGGCUAACUACGUG
rnacentral:rRNA from 1 species